AAACAUGUGACGUUUGGGGCAGAUUGGACAUUGUAUGUGUGAGUUAUAGCAACUUCAUUUUUCAUGGCGAAUCAUCGAAAUUCGCCAGGCCGCCACGGACACGCCCUUCAACGAAAAAUCAAGAUCUUCGCAAUUUAACAUCGCAAAGGCCUUUAGAUUAGGCAUACAAAAUUUGGUGUUGAUCUGAAGAACUCUCUAGGAGGAGUUCGUUAAAAUACAACACAUGGAAAUGACCAAAAUUACACAAAAUAUGCUCAUAAUAUUAAAAAUAACCGAAUUCCUGUUGGGUUUAGAAUUUCGCUCCAAGAGUCUUUUUUUGUAGGUAUUGGUGUGUUACAUAUGUGUGCCAAUUUUCGUGCAUGUACGUGAAACAUAGCUGGAAGGCUGUUGAUUUUCUUGGUAUAGGUGGCGCUGUCGAGCCAUUUUGCCACACCCUCUUCUGAAUCCUAUAUCAGACGAAAAUUUUCACCAGGUUUGACGCGUGUGCAAAGUUUCAUGACUUUUUGAGCAUGUUAAAGCCCUCAAAAAUGCGAUUCAUUCGGGAGAAGAAGAAGAAGAAGAAGAAGAAUAAUAAUAAUAAAAAACAAAGCAGAUACAAGAGGGUCCUCGCACCUCGGUGCUCGGGCCCUAAUUAAAGCUGCAAGCAGCGAUGAACGGGCCCUCGCACCCGGGCUCACCGGCAGUGAGUGGCCUUAGUAAAUUGGUGAACGGUGAGAAAUAUGCAUUCAAACUCAUAAAUAUAAGUGGAAAAUAUCAACAUUUAUUCCACAUGUGCCAAUCUUCCUGGUGCCAGCAGGUGGUGCUAUCAUUAUAAUGGAAUAUGGCCCUUCAAAUGUGUUCCGGGCAGGACUCCCAUCGAACAUGUGAAGUUUGGGGAAGAUCGAACAAAUUAUGCCUGAGUUACAACAACUUCUCUUGCUGUGGCGAGACAUCAAAAUUUGUCAUGGCGCCAUGGACACGCCCUUUAACAAAAACUCAAGAUCUCCACAAGUUAAAAUUGCACAGGCCUUUAGAUUAGACUGAAUACAAAAAAUACUUUAAUCUCAAAAAAAUUCUAGGAGUAGUUUGUCGCAGCCUAAAACAUGUCACUUCCUGUUGCCAGCAGGUGGCGCUAUGACUAUCACUGAAAAUGGGCAUGUAGAUCUGUUAAGGGCAGAAGUCUUAUCUAACAUGUGAAGUUUGGGGCAGAUUGGACAUUGUAUGUCUGAGUUACAGCAACUUCCUUUUUCAUGGCGAAACAUCGAAAUUUGGCAGGCCACCAUGGACACGCCCUUUAACGAAACCUCAAGAUCUUCGCAAUUUAACAUCACAAAGGCCUUUAGAUUACACUGACCAAGUUUGGUGUUGAUCUGAAUAAAUCUCUAGGAGGAGUUCGUUAAAGUACAACCCCUGAAAAUGGCAAAAACAACGCCAAUUUUGCAGAGAAAAUUCUAAAUAACCAACUUCCUGUUGGGAUUCGGAUUUCGUACCAAGAUACUUUUUUGUAGGUAUUGGUGUGUUACAUGUGUGUACCGAUUUUUGUACAUGUACGUGAAACAUAGCUCGAGGCACACUCCGUUGAAAGUGUAUAGGUGGCGCUAUAGAGCCAUUUUGCCAUACCCGAUGGAAUAUUGGCCUUCAGAUGUGUUCAGGCCAGGACUCUUAUCACACAUGUGAAGUUUGGGGAAGAUCGGACAUUUUAUGCCUGAGUUAUAACAUCUUUUAUUCCCAUGGCGAGACAUCGAACUUUGCCAUGGCGCCGUGGACACGCCUUUUAACGAAAACUCAAGAUCUUCACAACUGAACAUCGCACAGGCCUUUAGAUUAGACUGACCACAAAAAAGACAUUGAUGUCAAAAAAUUUCUAGGAGUAGUUCAUCACAGCGUAAAAUAUGUAACUUCCUGUUGCCAAUAGGUGGCGCUAUGACUAUAACUGAAUAUGGGCAUGUCAAUCUGUUCAGGUUUGGAGUCACAUCAAACAUGUGAAGUUUGGGGCUGAUUGGACAUUGUAUGUCUGAGUUAUAGCUACUUCAUUUUUCAUGGCGAAUCAUCAAAAUUCGCCAGGCCGCCACGGACACGCCCUUCAACGAAAACUCAAGAUCUUCGCAAUUUAACAUCUCAAUGGCCUUUAGAUUAGGCAUACCAAAUUUGGUGUUGAUCUGAAUUAAUCUCUAGGAGGAGUUCGUUAAAAUACAAUGCAUGGAAAUGGCAAAAAUGACAAAAAAUUUGCUCAUAAUAUUAAAAAUAACCAACUUCCUGUUGGGUUUAGAAUUUUGCUCCAAGAGUCUUUUUUGUAGGUCUUGGUGUCUUACAUGUGUUUACCGAUUUUCAGACAUGUGCGUGAAACGUAGCUCGAGGCGCACACCGCUGAACAUGUAUAGGUGGCGCUGUCGAGCCAUUUUGCCACGCCCACUUCUGAAACCCAUAUCAGACGUAAAUUUUCACCAGUUCGGAGGUGUGUGCAAAUUUUCCUGACUUUUUGAGUAUGUUUAGGCCUUCAAAAACGCGAUUCAUUGGGGAGAAGAAAAAUAAUAAUAAUAAUAAUAAACAGAGCAGAUACAAUAGGGUCCUCACACCUUCGGUGCUCGGGCCCUAAUAAUUAAAGCUGCAAGCAGCGAUGAACGGGCCCUCGCACCCGGGCUCACCGCCAUCGUGUUGCUUUAGUAAAAAGGUGAACGUUGAGAAAAAUGCAUUUAAUGUCCUAAAUAUAAGUGGAAUAUAUCAAAGUAUAUCCCAUAUAUGUGCCAAUCUUACCCUUGCCAGCAGGUGGCGCUAUCAUUAUAAUGGAAUAUUGCCCUUCAGAUGUGUUCAGGACAGGACUCUUAUCGAACAUGUGAAGUUUGGGGAAGAUUGAACAUUUUAUGCUUGAGUUACAACAACUUCUCUUGCUGUGGCAAGACAUCAAAUUUUGUCAUGGCGCCAUGGAAACGGCCUUUAACAAAAACUCAAGAUCUCCAAA